rnacentral:rRNA from 1 species
AUUGAACGCUGGCGGAAUGCUUUACACAUGCAAGUCGAACGGCAGCACGGACUUCGGUCUGGUGGCGAGUGGCGAACGGGUGAGUAACGUAUCGGAACGUGCCCAGUCGUGGGGGAUAACGUAGUGAAAAUUACGCUAAUACCGCAUACGAUCUAUGGAUGAAAGCGGGGGAUCGCAAGACCUCGCGCGAUUGGAGCGGCCGAUAUCAGAUUAGGUAGUUGGUGGGGUAAAGGCCCACCAAGCCAACGAUCUGUAGCUGGUCUGAGAGGACGAACAGCCACACUGGAACUGAGACACGGACCAGACUCCUACGGGAGGCAGCAGUGGGGAAUUUUGGACAAUGGGCGAAAGCCUGAUCCAGCCAUUCCGCGUGCAGGAUGAAGGCCCUCGGGUUGUAAACUGCUUUUGUACAGAACGAAAAGGUUUCUACUAAUACUAGGAGCUCAUGACGGUACUGUAAGAAUAAGCACCGGCUAACUACGUGCCAGCCGCCGCCGUAA